CGAAAAUUUAUUUAUACUAUAUUUUUUUCAAAAGGAAAGUAACAUUUCCUAUACUUUUUUUUACCAAAAAGUCCUUAAUCUUUUUAAAUUUAUUCAUCAUUUAUUCAACAGUCGAUUGCCUAUAUUUUGUUUUUUUUUGCAGAGUUUAAAUUUUACUAGUUUUCAAUCUUUCUAGACAUUUAUUAAAUUAUUUUUUUUAUUUUGUACAAGAAGAAAGCUAAUAAGACUGGUCAGUGGGAGUGGCCCAAUGCGAUAAAUCCAUUGGGUUUGGCCAAUGGGAUGGUCUGGUCAGUGGGAGUGACCCAAUUGCUUUUGCCCACUGUAAUUGGCCAUUAAUACUCACCACAAGGAGUGGCACAAUAAGAUUGACCGCUUAUAUGAUCAACAAUUUGAUCCAGCUAAUGGGAGUGACCCAACAGCGGCGGCCAAUGAGAUUGGUUCAGUGGGAGUGGCCAAUAGAAGUAGCCAAUGGGAAUGACCCGCUGUGACUGCGCGUCGGAAUAAGCCAAUGGGAUGAAGGGACUCAGGGCCCAAUGGUAAAAAGCCAAUGGCCGAAAGUGAUCGGUCCACUGUGAUUGAGAUUGGAGACGGGUCUAUGGGAGUGGCCCAAUGGUGUUGGCCAAUGAGAGUGGCCUAUUAUAGCGGCUCCAAGAGAUUGGCAAUAAUAAUUAGCCUUUAGGAGUGGCCCAAAAGGAUUGGAAAUUGGGAUGGGCAAUGGGAGGGAUCGGACAGUAGGAGGGACCCAAUGGAAGUGGCCAAUGGUAUUGACCCAUUGAGAUGGUAUUGGCCAAUGAGAGGGUUUUAGCAAUAGGAUUGGCAAAUAGAAAUGGCCCAAAGGGAGUCAUUGGGUGAUGGGAGUGUCCCAAUGGGAUUUGGACUCCGAAGGAGUGGCUAAUGAAAGGCUCCAAUGGGAUUGGUCAAAAUGAUGGGCUAAUGAAAAUAGCCACUGGCAGUAGCGCAUUACGAUUAGCCAACCGAAUUGACCUAUUACUCUGUUUGCCAAUAAGAUUAACCAUUGGGAGUUGCCAAAUGGGAUUUGACAUUUAACAUUAGUUGGUUUAUUUUUGAAACAUUUAUAUUUGUGGCUUUUUCACUAACUAAUUUUCAACUAUUUACAAGUUAACUCAAUUUCAACGCUCAACAAUAACAAAAACCAUUCGAACUUUACCAAAUGAUCACAUACAUUUCAAUCGUGUACAUUUAACAUAUAAGUCAUAUUCUACAAAAAAUCACAGUUGAAUGUGGACAAACGUUACGUAUGACAAUUGAAUAUAAUUACAAUCGAGACUUGUAAUUUUCCAAACCUUAGUGCGCGGUAUAUUUGACUAAAGCUUUCACAUCUAUAGCCACGCUGCGGGGGCCUUUCGAUAAAAAUAACUAUAUGUGCGCUGAUCCGGCGGCUGGGGCGAUUGACUAGCGGAAGUUGUACAACUGAAAGUAGUACAAAAUCAGGACAAUAAAGAUGGCGGCAAAAUAUCAGUAA